AGAAGGAAAUUAUGAAAAAGAAAGUAGGACAUAAAAUCACAUUCAACAGAAGGCUCACAAAUCACAUGUUAGAAGGCAACAUUUACCAGAAGCAAAGAGUAGCUCAGAGAAGGCGGAGAAGAGUUCCGUUCAAAAGCAUCAGCUGCUGGUAAUCAUCUUUACCGUUCGACCUUCACAUCACCCGUUCUAAGAGCUCCCUUCCGAUGUAUGUUACCUCCUCCUCAAAAAAUUUAUGCUAGCUGCUAAUUGAACAAGCCAAUAGAUCAACAUACAUGGGAGUAGGGGGAAGGCUUCGCGACGCAUUGAUCAUCUAUUGUGAAGGGGAUUCGCGCCAGUGGGAACCUUCCUCUUAUCUGCUCCUACCAAAUCAUCUCCAUUCUCAUGGUCGUCAUGGCUGGCGAACAUCACUGAACCGCUUGAAGCAGCCGAAAUGGGAGCCAAGUCUAAGAAGGUAGAAGAACGAUCUCCCUCCGGGCGCAUGGUGGAGUGAAGGAAGACCAUUUGCACGAGGAUUAACACCACAACGACCCACUUGCACGACACCACCCUUUGUCUCCUCCGAAGGGAGGGAAUCAUGAUACCAUCUCUCAGAGAAGGCUCUUUGCUUCACUGCAAGAACACGUGGCCAUGAAUGCUGGGCCGCAGCUGCCGAGAUUGAGGUGGAGAAUGGUAAUGACGAAUUAGGUGUUCUUGCAAGGGGUGGCCAAGUAGAAGUGAAGAAGAGAGAGUUUGGU
rnacentral:lncRNA from 1 species